rnacentral:tRNA from 1 species
UCCCUGAUAGCUCAAUCAGUAAAGAAUCUGCUUGCAGUGCAGAAGACCUGAGUUCAAUCCUUGGAUUGGGAA